AAUUCCACUCAAAAUAAUGAUUUGGGUUGAUCUGCGUCGCAUGGGCUGUAUGUGCGACGCAGAUAAGGCUCAAAAAAUGCAGAAAUUAAUGAGUUGGGCUUAUCUGCUUCACAUGGGCUUUAUGUGCGACGCAGAUUAGGCUAAGGAAAUGCAAAUAAGGCGCGCACUUCAUUCUUGUAUUUUCAAACCCUAACUUUUUUUUUGAGGGUAUCAAACCCUAACUUCUUAGUCUCUCCCUCUCUCUCUUCAGCCGUUCUUCUCUCUCUCUCCCUCUCUCCCUCUCUCCAUCUCUCUCUUCCUCAUACCACUAGUUCAUCAUCAACAACUUCAUUCUUAUUUGUCUCUUUUUCCUUUGCAUGCAACGAAUUCUAUAUCCCUUGCCCUCACUUAUGAAAUCUCUUUCUCACCUCCAUCCCCUUAUCAUUCGAAACUCAAAUUUGCCAUACCUUAUUCGAAACUCAAGUUUUAGGAUUACCUUGCUCGAAUAAAACGGAAACCGAAGAAAUCAUAUAUAUUGCUCGAACAAAAGCAGAGAUCUUUUCUUCCUUAAGAAAUUGUCGCUGAACAAAAAUUUCUUAAUCUUAUUCUAGAUCGUCGGUGCAAGAACCGAGGCUUUUCAUUUCAGAUCUGGUGGAGAAAGAGAAGAAAUUGCAGACAACUUUUUAUAUUUCGAUCAUUUUAGGAUGUUUCUCUACUUGUUGUAGGAGUGAUUUGGAUUUUUUGGUUAAUUCAUUUUAUUUUGUAAGAUUUGUAUAAUUUUUCAUUUUAGAUUUCGGUUCAUGUUUUUUUAUUAUAGAACAAUUGUAUAAGUUUUUCAUUAUAGAUUUUUGUUCAUGUUUUUUAAUCUAUUACCCUUUCUCUAUUUCAUGAAAUUAAUUUUUUUUUGGUAAAAAUA